rnacentral:rRNA from 1 species
UGGGGAAUAUUGCACAAUGGGCGAAAGCCUGAUGCAGCAACGCCGCGUGAGUGAUGAAGGCCUUCGGGUUGUAAAGCUCUGUCUUUUGGGACGAUAAUGACGGUACCAAAGGAGGAAGCCACGGCUAACUACGUGCCAGCAGCCGCGGUAAUACGUAGGUGGCAAGCGUUGUCCGAAUUUACUGGGCGUAAAGGAUGCGUAGGCGGAUUUUUAAGUGAGAUGUGAAAUACCCGGGCUUAACUUGGGUGCUGCAUUUCAAACUGGGAAUCUAGAGUGCGGGAGAGGAGAAUGGAAUUCCUAGUGUAGCGGUGAAAUGCGUAGAGAUUAGGAAGAACACCAGUGGCGAAGGCGAUUCUCUGGACCGUAACUGACGCUGAGGCAUGAAAGCGUGGGUAGCAAACAGGAUUAGAUACCCUGGUAGUCCACGCCGUAAACGAUGAGUACUAGGUGUAGGAGGUAUCGACCCCUUCUGUGCCGCAGUUAACACAAUAAGUACUCCGCCUGGGAAGUACGAUCGCAAGAUUAAAAACUC